GGGUUAUUCACAGCCCCUGGUUGUUAGCAAUACGCCUACAGGAAAAAUCCAAGGUGAGAGAGUGAAGUCCAGCUCAGAAAGAUUCCUCCCACUCCCUGUCCAUGAAGUGGAAAUUGAGCCAGAGUGUUAAGUUCCUGGCAGCUGAUGAGAAUGGAUUACUGGUUGGAGAAAGCUAAUCCUGCUGCCUUAUUUUGUGGUGCCUCAAG